GAUGAAGAACGUAGCGAAAUGCGAUAAGUGAUGUGAAUUGCAGAAUUCAGUGAAUCAUCGAAUCUUUGAACGCACCUUGCGCCCUUUGGCUAUUCCGAAGGGCAUGCCUGUUUGUGUAUCGUGAACACCUCAACUCUCAUGGUUUGCCAUGAUGAGCUUGGACUUUGGGGGUUUUGCUGGCCUUUGGUCGGCUCCUCUCAAACGGAUCAGCUUUCCAGUGUUUGGUGGCGUCACGGGUGUGAUAACUAUCUACGCCUGUGGUUUUCUGCCAGAUAACCUUCAGCGAUGGAGGUUCGCUGGGGCUCAUAAAUGUCUCUCUUCAGUGGAGACAGCUUUUUGGACGUUUGAUCUCAAAUCAGGUAGGACUACCCGCUGAACUUAAGCAUAUCAAUAAGCGGAGGA
rnacentral:misc_RNA from 1 species